rnacentral:sRNA from 1 species
AACGCCAAGAUGAAGGCUUUCAAGAAAGAGCUGCAGGCCUUCCUGGAGCAGGUGAACCGCAUUGGGGAUGGCCUAUCCCCCUUGCCCCACCUCACAGAGUCCUCUAGCUUCCUCUCCACUGUGACUUCCGUGUCCCGGGACUCCCCCAUCGGGAACCUGGGGAAGGAGCUGGGCCCAGACUUGCAGUCCAGACUGAAAGAGCAGCUGGAGUGGCAGCUCGGGCCGGCCCGAGGGGACGAGCGGGAGAGCCUGCGCCUCCGAGCUGCGCGGGAGCUGCACCGCCGCGCAGAUGGGGACGCCGGGAGCCACGGGCUGGGAGGCCAGACCUGCUUCAGCCUGGAGGUCAGCGUGGGCAAGCAAUCCCCCCGCACCGCCCCCCCCCCCCCCGCUCCUUUUUCUGUGUGGCUGUCUGUGUGACGUUUUCUGUCCCGGAUGAGGCCCUGAGGGAACAUGGCAGGAGAAGGUGGAGCUAGGCGGAACUCACUUGGUAGCAAACCCAUUUUGUGGCACUGGGACAGGCAGGUGUGCGCAGGUGCCUGCGGUGAACUGCUGUGCUUGUCAGACAGAGGGACAGCUCACUGCAGGCGCUGUCCACCUCCUGUUUCCGCAGACUGGGAGCACCUGGAAGUAGGCUGAUUGGUGAGUGCGCAGUGGCUUCUUGUCCAGAGAAAGAAGGGAUGAAAACCCAGCACGGGCUUCCCUGCUCUGGAGGAAACUCCCCUUAGAGUUCCCCUUUUCAGCUCUUUGUUGCCUGUGUCUCGUGUGACCAUCCCGUGGUCUCGAGUGACACUGCUGGCCGGUUGGUAGAAUCAGGGGGGCUCACUCCUGACCUGUGGGCACCCUUAGAAGUCUCUGUCACCACAGUAACCCGGUGUACACAAGGCUCCAGCCACCACAGGGACCAUGGUUGGAACUGUUGUCAGCAGCCUGGAAGAGUGAAAGCUCUUAGACACGGGCCACCCUACCCGGGACAGAAAGAGGGGAUUCUCGAGGAGCUGUUGAAUGAGGAAGCACCUUUUAAAGUCCAAAUGCUGUGUCAGUGUAAAGUAUGAUUAAUAAUAAAGAGAGAAUGCCAUGUCCUGCCAUUGGGGACUGUCAAGGGGGAAAGCAUGUCACAGCUCCCCUAGUCAGGGGCCCGGUUUUCCCUUCCCACUGUAGCUCUUUCUUCUUUGCCAUGGGCUGUUUCUGGAACCACAGCUCUGGCUACACAGGGCGGCCCCCUUCCCUUUGAUGGCUGGUUUUACAGGAACUGCAUCUCCUUUCCCGAGUGUUCCGUCCUUCAAGGUGUGUCACACAUAGCUGUGUGCAGUUAGAGCCUGUGUCAGAGAGCUCUCCUCCUGGAUUCUUCCUAGGUCCUUAUUGUGUAACCUGGAGCAGUGAUAAGUUGUCACCAUCAUGAAUGCAUCACAUAGCUUCAGAAACUGGGAGUGAUUUGGGAGAGAGAAGCAUACUUAGUUGAAGCAAACCAAAUACUGAGGAACAAUAAAGCUUCACAAGAAGUAGAUUAGCAGAGUGAGCUGGUGCCGUUUGGGAGCACAGGAUCUCCAAACAACGCAACUCAG